GUGUGUGUGUGUGUGUGUGUGUGUGUGUGUGUGUGUGUGUGUGUGAGAGGGAGAGAGAGAAUCACAUGUCUAUCUCUGAAAUAUGUGAUAGUAAUCAGAUUUACUGCUCAGUCACAAUGCCUUCUUUGACUUGUGUUCUGCUCAGGGGUGUGUGACAAAGUGUCUGACGGUUAUGUGUGUGUAGAAAAACACUCCCCACACAGCCUUGUGUAAGCGUGUGUGUGUUGGUGUGUGAGGGGAGAGACAGAAGGUGUGUUGAUAGUGAUACCCAGUGUUGAAUGCUGCCAUCUAGUGGUCAUACUGAGACAGAAGGUGUGUUGAUAGUGAUACCCAGUGUUGAAUGCUGCCAUCUAGUGGUCAUACUGAGACAGAAGGUGUGUUGAUAGUGAUACCCAGUGUUGAAUGCUGCCAUCUAGUGGUCAUACUGAGACAGAAGGUGUGUUGAUAGUGAUACCCAGUGCUGAAUGCUGCCAUCUAGUGGUCAUACUGAGACAGAAGGUGUGUUGAUAGUGAUACCCAGUGUUGAAUGCUGCCAUCUAGUGGUCAUACUGAGACAGAAGGUGUGUUGAUAGUGAUACCCAGUGUUGAAUGCUGCCAUCUAGUGGUCAUACUGAGACAGAAGGUGUGUUGAUAGUGAUACCCAGUGCUGAAUGCUGCCAUCUAGUGGUCAUACUGAGACAGAAGGUGUGUUGAUAGUGAUACCCAGUGCUGAAUGCUGCCAUCUAGUGGUCAUACAGAGACAGAAGGUGUGUUGAUAGUGAUACCCAGUGCUGAAUGCUGCCAUCUAGUGGUCAUACUGAGACAGAAGGUGUGUUGAUAGUGAUACCCAGUGCUGAAUGCUGCCAUCUAGUGGUCAUACUGAGACAGAAGGUGUGUUGAUAGUGAUACCCAGUGUUGAAUGCUGCCAUCUAGUGGUCAUAUAUGUUUUUAUUUCACCUUUAUUUAACCAGGUAGGCUAGUUGAGAACAAGUUCUCAUUUACAACUGUGACCUGGCCAAGAUAAAGCAAAGCAGUGCAACACAAACAACACAGAGUUACAGAUGGAAUAAACAAUAAACAAGUCAAUAACACAAUAGAAGAAAAAUAAAGUCUAUAUACAGUGUCUGCAAAUGGAGGUAAGGCAAUAAAUAGGCCAUAGUAGUGAAGUAUUUACAAUUUAGCAAAUUAACACUGGAGUUAUAGAUGAGCAGAUGAUGAUGUGCAAGUAGAAAUACUGGUGUGCAAAAGAGCAGAAAGUAAAUUAAAACAAUAUGGGGAUGAGGUAGGUAGAUUGGGUGGGCUAUUUACAGAUGGGCUAUGUACAGCUGCAGCGAUCGGUUAGCUGAUGUUUAAAGCUAGUGAGGGAGAUAUGAGUCUCCAGCUUCAGCGAUUUUUGCAAUUCGUUUCAGUCAUUGGCAGCAGAGAACUGGAAGGAAAGGCAGCCAAAGGAGGAAUUGUCUAUGGGGAUGACCAGUGAGAUAUACCUGCUGGAGCGUGUGCUACGGGUGGGUGUUGUUAUCGUGACCAGUGAACUGAGAUAAGGCGGAGCUUUACCUAGCAUAGACUUAUAGGUGACCUUGAGCCAAUGGGUUUGGCGACGAAUAUGUAGCGAAGGCCAGCCGACUAGAGCAUACAGGUCGCAGUGGUGGGUGGUAUAAGGUGCUUUAGUAACAAAACGGAUUGCACUGUGAUAAACUGCAUCCAGUUUGCUGAGUAGAGUGUUGGAGGCUAUUUUAUAAAUGACAUCGCAGAAGUCGAGGAUCGGUAGGAUGGUCAGUUUUACGAGGGUAUGUUUGGCAGCAUGAGUGAAGGAUGCUUUGUUGCGAAAUAGGAAGCCAAUUCUAGAUUUAACUUUGGAUUGGAGAUGUUUGAUAUGGGUCUGGAAGGAGAGUUUACAGUCUAACCAGACACCUAGGUAUUUAUAGUUGUCCACGUAUUCUAAGUCAGAGCCGUCCAGAGUGGUGAUGCUGGACGGGCGGGCAGGUGUGGGCAGCAAUCGGUUGAAGAGAAUGCAUUUAGUUUUACUAGCAUUUAAAAGCAGUUGGAGGCCACGGAAGGAGAGUUGUAUGGCAUUGAAGCUCGUCUGGAGGUUAGUUAACACAGUGUCUAAAGAAGGGCCAGAAGUAAACAGAAUGGUGUCGUCUGCGUAGAGGUGGAUCAGACUCACCAGCAGCAAGAGCGACAUCAUUGAUGUAUACAGAGAAGAGAGUCGGCCUGAGAAUUGAACCCUGUGGCACCCCCAUAGAGACUGCCAGAGGUCCGGACAACAGGCCAUCCGAUUUGACACACUGAACUCUAUCAGAGAAGUAGUUGGUGAACCAGGCGAGGCAGUCAUUUGAGAAACCAAGGCUGUUGAGUCUGCCGAUAAGAAUGUGGAGUCAAUCAAUUGAAGGACUGUCAUGUACAGAAUGAUGUGUAUUUACAACAGGUGGUGGUAUACAGAAUC